rnacentral:lncRNA from 1 species
CCACCUCCCUGUCCAAAAGAAGCACAGUUAUACUCUCUAUUUCUGUGGGCUCAGGGGAUCACACAUUUGACUACAGCUCUUUUUCUUUCAGAAAAUCCUAGGAAAUGUUUGUGAAAGCAUGUUUAUCUGGAAAAGAUGUCUCUGAAUCUUUCCACCUGCUCUGUCUGUCAACUUGGCAUGGUCCAGGCUAUCACCGUCAGUCCCAGGACCAUCCCUUGUAGAAAGCUUCAACCACAGACUACAUGUCAUGUUCUUGCCUGUUUAUUCCACUUCUCAAUCUCUAACUUUCUAAUAAGCUACAAGUCUGUUGACUUUAUCACAGAAGUUAGUAGCAUGAUCAGAUCUGAAGUUGCAAGGAAUUAUGGAUAUUGUCCCCUUCCUUGCAAACUUUGUCCUCCUUCUCUCUCUUCUCCCUCCCUCUCUCUUCUCUGUGACAUAAUCUUUCAGAGUCUCAUGGGUUUUCACAGUGGGUUGAUGGUACUGUGUACAGGUUCAUAUGAAGUUCAUUGGUUCUCUUCCUAUAUAGAUAUCCUCUACCAUCACAGCUGUACAUUAGCGAUCAGUUCCAGUUCAGACAUCAGUGCUGUGCAGUGUUCACACUGUCGUGAUCUGUUUCCUUAUCUUUUUAUCAAGUAAGUUUCAUUUCAUCCUCUUACAUGGGUAAUCCUAAACAUUAAACAGCUGUGCUUUUCUCACCCCCUUUAUCCUGAUCAACAGGGAUGCCAGUAUUGCUAAAGAAUGAGGAGCACACUGACAAAUGCAUCAGUUACGCUUUAUACCCAUUCUUCCAUGAAAGAAAAAAGUAUACACACACACGUGUGUGU